rnacentral:misc_RNA from 1 species
GGGGUAAAAAAGAAAUGAAAAGAAAAUAAAAGUAAGUGGAUGGAUAUAUGAAAAUAAUCUGCACAGCCAAACUCUUUGCUAGCUUUUCUGCUUAAAUAAAAAUUAUCAACCAUCUAGACUUUAGAACAUAUAUCCAAAGUAUAGAUGUGGGAUUGAGUUAACUGUAGAACACAUACCAAAACAUAGAUAUGGGAUUGAGUUAAAUAUCUGGAGAGAUAUUAUAAGUAUAAUGUGUAGUAGCAUCAACCAAUAUCAGUCUGAAUUGCACCACCAUCAAACAGCAGUCAACAUACUCACAGACCAUAACAAUUAAAGGCAAAAAAAAUGGAUGAUUUUUCUGUUUAUAACUUUAAUCAAUCAGUUUAUGAUCAAUGUCUCGAGUAUGUUUUAUAUAAACAUUAGAGCACUCAAGGAUAGAAAUAAAAGAGAGGGUAUUAAGAGACAGUAUAAAGUAUAUUACUGUGUAGUGUGUAGUGUGUAAAGUUGGUGAACGAGUGGUAUACCUUUG